AAAGGAAACGAUUUCAACCUUGUCGAAGAACCGAGUUCAACUUAUCUUGGUUAUAAUUCCGGUUACGCAAACGCAAGGGCGCAAAAAGACAGGUAGGGUACAACAUGUUAAUUAAAUGGAUUGCCGAUUACGAAACACGAAGGAGGAACAGAUGUAGAAGGCCGUUAAUUAAUUCAGAUAGUAGGACGAACAGUGUUGAUCAGAGUGAAUUUCCAUUAAUCCGAAAAUACAAUAUCCUCGAUUGGGUUGUUCACGUGUCUGGUGUCGACACUGUCGACCUCACGCGGCCCAUAGAACACGUGACACACCAUGGCCACGUGAUAAAAGGGGGAGGAACUUAUUCUUUCUUCCUUCACAGUGAGAAACGAGCCAGAAGCUCUUUCUUACCGCGUGGUUACGCUUUUAACAGCCUCGAACGUUUACAUAACCGUUUAUAGUAGGAAAAUCCUUCUACCCUUUGCACGGAAGAUUAACUAUAGCUGUGGUUAACUGGUUAAGGAUGAAAGACAUUUCUAAACUUAAUUUAACUACGGUCGAUCACAAAAAUACUGGGACACCAGUGCAAUCUCACUUGAAAGUCACGUAUUUUGAAUAUAUAUGCAACCAGCAACAAAAAUACAUUGCAUCAUAUAUAUCAUCAAUAAUAAUAAUAAUAGUCACCAAUCCUCUUAUCUUUUAUAGUGUUUUUAUAAAAGAAUAUAUUGCUCUUCUUUGGUUAUUAACAGUUUCUCAAGUUAUUCCGUUGUAAUAUUAGAUGUGCAAGCUGAAUGUUGCGGACAUUUGUACAAUAUCGGCUACAGAUGUAAACAAAUUUAAGGGGGAUUCUUGAAGCUAAAAUAAGAUGAAAAUCAAGAAUAAAAAAAUUGAGUUUUCGGCUUUGUUUUUUAGUUAUUGACAAUUAAAUGUUAGCCGAAAUAUCCCUAUGCUCGAGCAAACCUUCUUACACGAAUAAAAGUAGGUCAGCCUGAGCAACGAGGUGCACAGGGAUCCUCAAAUAGAACGAUACAUGGGCAGCAGCUUUUUCCCGUAAACGGUUUUUCAAUUCUUCUCUGCUAUUGAUUGGUGUUUUAUGUGUGUAUUUAACUGUGUAUUCUGUCGGCCAUUUUUGUCUAUUAGAAAAUAUUUCAGAUUCGAGUUCAAUAUGGAAAAAUUGUUAUUCGUAUGAGUAGCCCCUCUUCUUUUACGAUAAACAUGUCUUUAAGAUAUUAUAAAGCUUUUGCUAAUUCGAGGAUCGCGACAGGGUUAAGCUGGCUUUUUCGAUCUUGCUGUUGAGACUUACUAGCAGAAAAUUACUCAUUGAGUAUUUAGUUUGUUAUUUACAAAAAUUGAAAAAGAUUAAUUCAUAAACAAGAUUAAUUUAUGUAUAAAAAUAAAAAAUAGUGAAAUAAGAGAUAAAUUCGGCUACAAUAGAACACAGUAUCGACUCUGGGCGAACUAUUUUACUAUUGAAAUAAAAAAGAUAGAAAGAACAGAGAAUAUAUCGGGAAAAUGAUUGCUUUCACUGAUCUCUUUUUCGAAAAACAAUCACCGCGCAAGUUACAGCGAAAUUUCUCUAAAUCGGUGCGACAUUUCGCCAACCUCUUGUACAGUGCUGUCCAAAAGUAUCAGAAACUUACUUGCAAUAAUUUACGUGGAGAAAAGUUAUUAUCAAAAGUAUCAUAUAGUGAUUGUAUUAAACUGGUGAAGAAAGAAGUUUCCAAGAAGAAGAUAUAUUAAAGCAGGAAUAGGAUAUAGGAGAAAUAAGGAUGAAGAUAGGUAAGAUGUAGCUGGAGAAGUGAGUGCAAGGAUGAGGAAUAAUCAAGUGGAGAAGGUGGUAGACUGAUGGUGGUUAUGAAGUGAAGUAGUAAAGGGAAUAUAAUAAUAGUAAUCGAUGAAACUGAGUAAUUAAGGAAAGGAAUUCCUGGAAAAGGAAGGAAGGGGGAAAUAUCUAUAGUAGGAAAUACUUAAAGAAAAUGAUGCAAAUGAUAUGUUUACAAAAUGUGCGGAAUGUAUCCAUACAAUAAAGAAAAACAGUAUAUACCAUAGAAAAUUCCUAACGAUAAAAAGAAGCAGCACAAGUAUCAAUGAAAAAACAAAAACCCAAGCAAGAAAAAGAAAAAGAACCCAAAAAGAAAAGAACCCAGCAAAAAGGAGGUCGUUGAUGAAGAAAAAAGCAAUAUAAAAAAUUGUACUAAAAAUGAAAUUCCAAUAAUAAAAGAAGGCGAUGAAAGAGGUAUAACGAGAGGACAAUAAAAAAUUUCAAUGAUUAAGAGAAGACGCGCUAAAAAGAAUUCUGGUAACAAAAAGAUAUAGAGAAGGGGGCGUGGUAAAAAGAAACCAUUGCGACAAUUAAUAAAAAUUAAAAGACACCAAAAAAUAAAUAGCAAUUUAAAAAAACAGUGACAAACUCAAAAUUUCAAUAAGUAAAAAACAUCAAAGAAAGAAUUUCCAUAAAAAGAUAUCAGUGAGUAAGAUAUCAAUGGCUCUUACGAAGCGGUCUCUCCACUGAUUUUGUUCUACUCUGUGUACGACUGCUGGACGAAUAAGAUAAAGGAACAAGGUAAGAGGGGUAAGUGGUUGGAGUAGUGUGAAACGAGUCUCACAGUCAAAAAUAAAAGUUUAUUAAUUCCAUGCCGAUUUUGAAGAUAAUUAAAAGUUCAGAACGUCUUCGCGACGCUCUUUUGAUCCGGACAGUUACUUAGUUGCAAAUAAUAUACCUGACUUCAGCAAAUUUUCCUAUUUCGUAAACCAAUUUAAUUUGCACCCUCCAUGAAAAAAGUAUAAAAUGAAAUUGAAUAUUUUGGAACUAUUGUUGGAUAAAUAAAUAGUUCGGACGCAAUUUGAUUUCUUUUUUGCUUUUUUAGUGUUUCAAUAUGAAGAUAAAUAACCUAAGAAACAGUAUAUUGAGUCAAAUAUCAUUACUAAGGUUCUUCAUUUGAUUUCUGACUAAUAAUUCUUAAAAAAGUGCAGCCAUGUGAAGUGCUUUGGUAGCACUGAAUGUGUCAAUGUAAUUUAAACAUUGUAAUUGUACUGCUAUGUAGUUUUGUAAAAAUGAGUAAACAUAGCUGUAUGAAAUGUAUGAAAGCUAUUCAGCUGGCUUUUUUGCUCAUCAAACUGUUAUGUACUUAUUACACUUACUGUAAACUUAGUAUUAAAGUAGCUGCUUGGUUGUAAAUUUACAGACUAAACAAUAAAAUAACGAAUCUUCUGAAAAGAAUAGCUUGAAACGUUUAUUUAAAUACAUAUUCGUACAAUAAAGAGGCAAUUAAAUGCUCUGCAGUGAGUACCCUUUUAAAAAAGAACACAAUUUUAAACAUGCUAUAAGCAAUGGAAAUUAAGCAAUGAAAAGAUUCUUAACAAUGAGAUCGAACAGUUUUCUUUCCACGGCACAAAAUGCACAUUGCAAAUGUGUAUAGCUGUAGUUUCAAGCUUUAAUUUUAUAUAAAAAUUAAAAGUGAAUUGUUGUGCGUAUGUAUCUUUCCACCUCUUUUUGUUUUAAGGUCUGUUUUGGUCCCAAGAAAAUUUUGGACAGCACAUAAUUAUUAUAAA